CCUACGGGAGGCAGCAGUGGGGAAUAUUGCGCAAUGGGGGCAACCCUGACGCAGCAACGCCGCGUGAUUGAAGAAGGCCUUCGGGUUGUAAAGCUCUUUAAUCGGGGACGAAUUUUGACGGUACCCGAAGAAUCAGAUCCGGCUAAAUACGAGACAGCAGCCGCGGUAAUACGCAGGGAGCAAGCGUUAUCCGGAUUUACUGGGUGUAAAGGGCGUGUAGGCGGGGAUGCAAGCCAGAAGUGAAAUCUGGGGGCUUAACCCCCAAACUGCUUUUGGAACUGGGUGUCUUGAGUGAUGGAGAGGCAGGCGGAAUGCCCAGUGUAGCGGUGAAAUGCGUAGAUAUUGGGAAGAACACCGAUGGCGAAGGCGGCCUGCUGGACAUUAACUGACGCUGAGGCGCGAAAGCGUGGGGAGCAAACAGGAUUAGAUACCCGAGUAGUC
rnacentral:rRNA from 1 species